rnacentral:snRNA from 1 species
GUGCUCGCUUCAGCGGUACAUAUACUAAAAUUGGAGUGAUGCAGAGAUUAGCAUGGCCUCUGAGCAAG